rnacentral:rRNA from 1 species
UACAUAGGGUGCAAGCGUUAAUCGGAAUUACUGGGCGUAAAGCGUGCGCAGGCGGUUUUGUAAGUCUGUCGUGAAAUCCCCGGGCUCAACCUGGGAAUGGCGAUGGAGACUGCAAGGCUAGAGUUUGGCAGAGGGGGGGUAGAAUUCCACGUGUAGCAGUGAAAUGCGUAGAUAUGUGGAGGAACACCGAUGGCGAAGGCAGCCCCCUGGGUCAAAACUGACGCUCAUGCACGAAAGCGUGGGGAGCAAACAGG